UUGGGCGUAAAGGGUGCGCAGGCGGUCCUGCAAGUCUGGAGUGAAACGCAUGAGCUCAACUCAUGCAUGGCUUUGGAAACUGGGAGACUUGAGUGCAGAAGAGGAGAGGGGAACUCCAUGUGUAGCGGUGAAAUGCGUAGAUAUAUGGAAGAACACCAGUGGCGAAAGCGGCUCUCUGGUCUGUAACUGACGCUGAGGUUCGAAAGCGUGGGUAGCAAACAGG
rnacentral:rRNA from 1 species